rnacentral:rRNA from 1 species
GACGCUGGCGGCAGGCCUAACACAUGCAAGUCGAACGGCAGCACAGUGGUAGCAAUACCAUGGGUGGCGAGUGGCGGACGGGUGAGGAAUACAUCGGAAUCUGCCUAUUUGUGGGGGAUAACGUAGGGAAACUUACGCUAAUACCGCAUACGACCUACGGGUGAAAGUGGGGGACCGCAAGGCCUCACGCAGAUAGAUGAGCCGAUGUCGGAUUAGCUAGUUGGCGGGGUAAAGGCCCACCAAGGCGACGAUCCGUAGCUGGUCUGAGAGGAUGAUCAGCCACACUGGAACUGAGACACGGUCCAGACUCCUACGGGAGGCAGCAGUGGGGAAUAUUGGACAAUGGGCGCAAGCCUGAUCCAGCCAUGCCGCGUGUGUGAAGAAGGCCUUCGGGUUGUAAAGCACUUUUGUCCGGAAAGAAAAGCAUCGGGUUAAUAACCUGGUGUCAUGACGGUACCGGAAGAAUAAGCACCGGCUAACUUCGUGCCAGCAGCCGCGGUAAUACGAAGGGUGCAAGCGUUACUCG